GGAUCAUGAAAAUAUAGUUAAGAUAACAAGCAUAUUUCAUAUAAUUUCCCUUUUAGAGGACAGCUUUUUGUGUCCGGUCUCUUGCGAAAAUUAUGCCGCGACCGAAGUGCGUGAGACGAACCGUUAUACACGGUGAGCCCAUAAAAUUGUUAUUCAAAUGUUUCAGCUGCCGGGCAGCGUACCCUAGGGAUUACGUGUACCGACUGAGUUCACUUUGAGGGUAAGAUGCUUGGAGAGAAAGAGAGCGAAGUUUUCGCUCGAGUGCCCGACCAGCAUUGUACCACCGCUUAUGGCACGAUAACAGUUUCCUCCGACAAUAACGAUUUCAGUAUCAGGAUGACAGGACACGCGAGCAUUAUAAACAGUCUUGUUAGUCGAGUUCGAUUGAGAAGCUGAGAAAAAUUCUUAGGCUCAUGUAGAUGUGAAUUCAUUAUUUAAUUUUUAAUGAAAGUACACAAUUGCAAUUGUGAGAUGAUUUAGAAAGAAAGAUUGAGAGAACUCUUAAGAACGAAUAUACGAUCAAGAAAUAAUUUUCUAAUAUAUUGGAAGUAUAUUGAAACUUAAGCGAUUGUAGGAAUAAUUGAUCAAAAGAUGUUUAUCUUUUUUCAAUGGUGUAUAGAAAAUUUUAGCACAAGAAUAAUAUGUUAAUAUUGAAAAAGAAUUGAUUUUUUAUGAAGAUAUCUUGGAGAUUUUGUAAUAAAAGAAUAAUGUCAAGAACGAAGAAUCAAAACACAUACGAAACGAGAUCAAAAUAUUCGUAUUUCAUCACAUGAUCAAACACAAACAAUGUAUUUCUUAAGAAGCGAAUGAGUGAAUUAUCGCAAGUUAACAACCUAACCUUGUGGAUCGAAAAUAUAUUGUGGAUAUAUAGUAGAUUGAAGUAUAUUGUGGAUGAAACGAAAUUGAUCCAAGCGUAACGAUUAAUAUCAAAUGGUAGAUUUAUGGCGGAUAAACGUGCGACUUUGCUGUUUACCAUCUCCCACAGAAAUCGCGUGCAGGUACAGUUAUGCCGAAUGAGAUUCUCCGGUCUGGCCAACUAUCCGGUACAAUUUAUAGCCUCUGUAUCACAUUGGAUAUCUGAAGCACCAAAGAGAAUUUUCCUCGGUGCGAUUCUCUGACUAUAACUCUUCAUUAUCGAUUGAUUACAUUCAAGAUAAUCUGCUUGUCCUUUCAAGAUAAAAUUCUCACCCCUCGCAUCGAAGAAAAGUUAUAUAAAACGAGUUGUUGGUGAGAAACUCGUUAGAAACUCAAAUUAGUCAACGGUGAACAGAUUGAAUAAUUUAACGUGUCUAGUACACGAUUAUAGCGAAAAAACUACGUGGCCGGUAUUUUAACUCAUAAACUUCAUCGUAAAUUGAAUUGAGCAAACAAUACCGACUAUUCUCGUAGGAAAGUUUUUGCGUUUAGCAAUCAUGGGAUGCCACUACCCGCAUUUUAGAUGUUUAAAAAACCGUUCAACUCCGUGUUCGUAUUCGAAAAAUUGUUAUACGAAAUAUUUCUUGCAACGUUGAAUUAUUGAAUAUAUCUUCAUAACAUAAAGACAAUCAAGACAGUUAUCAAUAUCAAAAUCAAAUGUCCAUUGAUGAAGCGAGACUGCAAAUAAUUUAAUUAAUCGUUAUAGAUAGAAACUGUAGAAUGGAUGAUGAAUUUUUGUAUCAUAAAGAUAUCUUAAAAUACAAAGAUAAUAUGUGAAAAAUUUUAAAUCUACAGAAGUUCAAUUAAUACUCAGAUAAUGCAUUUGUUAUUGUAUAAGUAACGUAUGUUUGUAUGAUGAAAGAAAUACAAGAAGAAGAAAAUAAUUAUUAAUCGUAAUAUUUUAUUUAACUAUUUCAAAACUGAUGGAAAGAUAAGUUUCAAGGUAAUUGUUGAAAAGAAUAUAUUUGUUAUGAUCUUUAUCAUCUAUUGAGAGAUAUAUAUUAAGUAUAUAAUCUUAUAAAGGAAUAAUUGAAAAUGAAUCGAAUUUAUUCGUUAUUAAAAAAUUAUUAAAUAAAAAAAACAAUUGAUUAUAUAUAUAAUGAUUAAUAUUGAUUCGAUUAAUCGGUUUCAAGAAAGUUUAUAAAAUUUAUAAAAACUAAAAAUAUAAAAUAUAUAUAUUAUACAACAUACAGAUUUUUCUGAUAUCCAGCAUUUCAAUCAUAUUUAAAAUUAUAUUAAAUUUAGUAUUAACGAUAUUACAAUUAAUAUUGAAUAUUUCUCAAUACAUAAAAGAAAAGGAAUGUAUAAAAAAUAAGUUAUUGUAAAAUAUUCAAUUGUGAGAAUUAAUGAAUAAAGAAAGUUCAUUCGUUCAAAGUCAUUUGUUUUUGUCAUUAUCUAUGCUUGUUUAUUAACUGUAGAUAAUAAGAAAAAUACAAUAAAAUUCGUCAAAAAGAAAAUUGUCAUAAUGGAAAAAAAAAUAUAAAAUUUCUCUAAAUAAUCAAUAGUAAAUAAAUUUUCUUUUCUUCUGAAUACUGAAAAAAACGAACAACAAAGAAUUAAUACUAAAGAAUUUAUAACAAGAAAGAGGUAGAUCCUUUUUUAGAAAAAUAGAAAGGAACAACUUAUAUGGUUAUUGUUUAUAAAAUAUUUUCUGUUAAAGAGAAAAGUAAAAUCUACAUUCUUUUACACAUAUUUUUAAGAUAUAAUAACUCGAAAAUUGUCAAAAACAAAUUUCUCUCGAAAUCGGAUAAUUUAAAUAAAAUUUAUUUAUUAAUUGUUAUUUG